AUACAUGUGUUUCAAUUCUAUCUAUCUAAAAUACAAAAACUCAAGUGAAUCACAUGAUGCUUAACCCAUACAUGACAAUGAUUUCACUUUUAUCGCUUGAUUACUUCUUUACUUUCUUUUUUAGACACUUUUUUACUUUAUGUUGCACUUUUAACAGGAGUACAGCCUGCUGCAACAAUAGAAAGUAACGAGUAUACCGUCUAAGCUCGUACGUACAAGGGUGUCGUGCUAAGUGGCUUUAAAAAGGGAGCAGAACGUGAGUUACUGGGUAAAAGGCUAGAGAAACGUUCUUGCGUCUGCUCCCAGUGUAAAGAUCUUCCAUGGUGAUGCAGGGUCAAGGUCCUCCAUUUGAUGUUGUCAGUGGUGUUAGCAUUUGGUGGUGCACCUACAUAUUAGAUUUAUGUUUUCUAUGUGUUGUGGCCUCUAAAGAUCGAACCACAACAAGCUUAUGUAGAUGUUAUAACUUUUGUACCUUCUAUUGAUGUCAAAAGGAAACACAGAAUGUUAAGUUAUUGUAGUAUAUUUAGCUAUUUCCCUGAUUGUGUAUAAGCAUUGUUGUUUUUUUGCGAAUUUAUGUGUUUAGUUAUAAUUGCACUCUA